GAGCUCUGUCUAUCUGCUAGGGCACCUGCCCCACACCAUUUACUGUGCCUCUUUGACUUUGCCAUCUGCCUUCCUGCCGAGAGAUUUCCAUGUCGGGCGGGCUUGCCAGUGAAUUCUCCUCAUACUCCGUUCCGCUUGGCUGCCAGAAUUUACACUGCCUUUUGAUGAAUCUUUGCUGGAGUUCCAGUCACACUCUAAUUGAUUGGUCUAGAUGUGAAGUUCUGGCCAUCCUCAUCUGCUUCCAUAGCUGAGCGAAAUGGGGCUGUCUGUGACAGCUCAGUGUGCCGCAGAUUGGGCCUGGGCAUCCAUAUUGACUCUCAUGGUCUUGACCUCGGUACCAACCAAUUUAGAGCACGUCUCCUUGUCACUUUGGCCACACAGCAGACAGGUGAUGAUGGAUACAGACCACAGCUGCAUGUUGCCCCGAAGACUCCGAUUAUUAGUUUUUCUCAAAGAUGUUGCUUGGAUCUAAGGUAACACAAUUUUUGGUGAGUUUUUUUUUUUUUUUUCCUAUUUGACGAGGAAACAAAUGGUCACAACAACAUAUACUACUGUGAGGGAUAAAACCUAAUCUUUUAUGGGAGCAACAUGAGCCAGCAAUUUUAAUUUUUAAGUGUGAAAAUGUCUUACUUCUGAAAUAGAAGAUAGGUUUGGAGCUAUGCUUUGUGAUUCUUAUGAUGUGGUUCUUGUGAUACCCUACUGAAUCUCUAG
rnacentral:lncRNA from 1 species